GACGAACGCUGGCGGCGUGCUUAACACAUGCAAGUCGAACGAUGAACCGGAGCUUGCUCCGGGGAUUAGUGGCGAACGGGUGAGUAACACGUGGGCAACCUGCCCCAGACAUCGGGAUAACCAUUCGAAAGGAUGGCUAAUACCGGAUAUGACCACUUCGGGCAUCCGAUGGUGGUGGAAAGGAUUCUGGUCUGGGAUGGGCCCGCGGCCUAUCAGCUAGUUGGUGGGGUAAUGGCCUACCAAGGCGACGACGGGUAGCCGGCCUGAGAGGGCGACCGGCCACACUGGGACUGAGACACGGCCCAGACUCCUACGGGAGGCAGCAGUGGGGAAUAUUGCGCAAUGGGCGAAAGCCUGACGCAGCGACGCCGCGUGAGGGACGAAGGUCUUCGGAUUGUAAACCUACUUUCAGCAGGGACGAAGCGAAAGUAGACUGUACCUGCAG
rnacentral:rRNA from 1 species